UCCUCCUCCUCCUCCCCUCGUCUCCUCCCCGCUCUCCUCCGCCUUCCUGCCGGACGUUUCCACGCGCUGGGAGAGGUUCCUGAUUAAAGCUCAGAUCUCUGGAGUUUCCAA